UUAGCAACUGUUCGAAGCAGCUGGCCGAGUGGUUAGGCAGUGGAUUAGAAAUCCAUUUAGGUCUCCCUCGUAGGUUCAGAUCCCACUUGCUAAG